UACGUAGGGUGCGAGCGUUAAUCGGAAUUACUGGGCGUAAAGCGUGCGCAGGCGGCUUUGCAAGACAGAUGUGAAAUCCCCGGGCUCAACCUGGGAACUGCAUUUGUGACUGCAAGGCUAGAGUACGGCAGAGGGGGAUGGAAUUCCGCGUGUAGCAGUGAAAUGCGUUGAUAUGCGGAGGAACACCAAUGGCGAAGGCAAUCCCCUGGGCCUGUACUGACGCUCAUGCACGAAAGCGUGGGGAGCAAACAGG
rnacentral:rRNA from 1 species